rnacentral:rRNA from 1 species
GAUCCUGGCUCAGAAUCAACGCUGGCGGCGUGCCUAACACAUGCAAGUCGAACGAGAAAGGGUAGCAAUACCUGAGUAAAGUGGCGCACGGGUGAGUAACACGUGACUAACCUACCCUGGAGUGGGGGAUAACUGAGGGAAACCUUAGCUAAUACCGCAUAAUACCUACGGGUCAAAGGAGCAAUUCGCUUUGGGAGGGGGUCGCGGCCGAUUAGUUAGUUGGCGGGGUAAUGGCCCACCAAGACAGUGAUCGGUAUCCGGCCUGAGAGGGCGCACGGACACACUGGAACUGAAACACGGUCCAGACUCCUACGGGAGGC